UUUGGAGAGUUUGAUCCUGGCUCAGGAUAAACGCUGGCGGCGUGCCUUACCAAUGCGAGUCGAACGAGGUCAGGUUUCGGCCUGGUCGAGUGGCGCCCGGGUGCGUGACACGUCGGUGACCUACCCCGCUGUGGGGAAUACCCUGCCGAAAGGUGGGCUAAUACCGCAUGCGAUCCCCGGUCGAACGGGGAUGAAAGCCCGCAAGGGCGCUGUGGGAGGGGCCGGCGGCCUAUCAGCUUGUUGGUGGGGUAAUGGCCUACCAAGGCGACGACGGGGAGCCGAUCU
rnacentral:rRNA from 1 species